rfam:Ictidomys tridecemlineatus contig086659, whole genome shotgun sequence.
GGGGAUUUAGCUCAGUUGAUAGAGUACCUGCUUCACAUGCACAAGACCCUGGGUUCAAUCCCCAGCACCCCCC